UACAGAGGGUGCGAGCGUUAAUCGGAAUUACUGGGCGUAAAGCGUGCGUAGACGGUAGCGUAAGUCAGAUGUGAAAGCCCCGGGCUCAACCUGGGAAUUGCAUUUGAGACUGCUCUGCUCGGGUGCGGAAGAGGGAAGCGGAAUUUCCGGUGUAGCGGUGAAAUGCGUAGAUAUCGGGAGGAACACCUGUGGCGAAAGCGGCUUCCUGGUCCAGCACCGACGUUCAGGCACGAAAGCGUGGGGAGCAAACAGG
rnacentral:rRNA from 1 species